ACUAAAACUCUAGCCCCCCAACCCCCUUAAGAAACUGUAACAUUUUAAUUUUCUGAAUUAAAACAUUCUAAUAGUCUAGUAAAGGCGAUCAAAAAACUAACAGGAGCUAUAUGUAAAGUACCGCAAGGGAAAGAUGAAAUAAAAUGAAAUAUUUUAAGUGUUAAAAAGUAGAGAUUAACCCUCGUACCUUUUGCAUCAUGGUUUAACUAGUCCAACCAAGCAAAAAGAUUUUAAGUUUGGCCCCCCGAAACUAAGUGAGCUACUUCAAGGCAGCUUAAUGAGCCAACCCGUCUCUGUCGCAAAAGAGUGGGAAGACCUUCAAGUAGCGGUGAUAAACCUAACGAACUUAGUGAUAGCUGGUUACUCAAGAAAAAGAUUUAGUCUAACCCAAAGUUAACUCUAUACAGAAAAUAAAAAUUUAACUUUGGAGUCAUUCAAAUAAGGUACAGCCUAUUUGAAACAGGAUACAACCUCAACUAACGGGUAAACUAAUAAUUGUUUAUGAUCAAGUAGGCUUAAGAGCAGCCAUCUUCAAAAUAGCGUCUAAGCUUAAUUAUUUAACCAUUUAAUUUCCUUAAUUCUCAUCAACCCUUUGUCCGUACUGAGUAAUUCUAUACAUUUAUAGAACUUUUUAUGUUAGAACUAGUAACAAGAAGAAGACCUUCUCUAAAAUGCAAGUGUAAAUCAUAAAGGACCCACCACUGAUAAUUAACAUAUCUGAAUAAACAGUAGUAACCCAACAAGAAAAUUCCACUAAUCUUUAUGUUAAUCUAACACAAGAGCAUUUCAAGAAAGAUUUUAAGAAAAAGAAGGAACUCGGCAAACAUUAACCUCGCCUGUUUACCAAAAACAUCGCCUCUUGUAAAAGCAUAAGAGGUCCAGCCUGCCCAGUGACUCUGUUCAACGGCCGCGGUAUCCUAACCGUGCGAAGGUAGCGUAAUCAUUUGUUCUUUAAAUGAGGACUAGUAUGAACGGCACCACGAAGGUUACACUGUCUCCUUUUUCUAAUCAGUGAAACUAAUCUCCCCGUGAAGAAGCGGGGAUUAGUCUAUAAGACGAGAAGACCCUAUGGAGCUUUAAACAAGAUAACAAUUGCUUGCCCACAUUUAUUUUCAGAAAACCAAAUCUUUAUCUUAGCAUUCUGAUUAUCAGUUUUAGGUUGGGGUGACCGUGGAGUAAAAAUUAACCUCCACAUUGACAUGGAAUUAAACCCUAAGCAAAGAGCCACAACUUCAUGCAUCAACAAACUGACAUUAAUUGACCCAAUAUUUUUGAUCAACGAACCAAGUUACCCUAGGGAUAACAGCGCAAUCCUCUUCAAGAGCUCCUAUCGACAAGGGGGUUUACGACCUCGAUGUUGGAUCAGGGUAUCCUAGUGGUGCAGCCGCUACUGAAGGUUCGUUUGUUCAACGAUUAAAACCCU
rnacentral:rRNA from 1 species